rnacentral:hammerhead_ribozyme from 1 species
GUACUGAUGAAGAGUCCCAAGCCAGGACGAAACGGUUGUCGAGUAC